UGAAACCAGGUUAGAUACCCCGUUAUACUAAAAUAGAAAUAAUAAAAUCCUGGGUAGUAGCGAUUAAUUGGUUUGAAAUCCAAAGGGUUUGGCGGUGUCUUAGUCCAGUUAGAGGAACCUGUUUUGUAAACGAUACUCCGCGUAGUAUUUCUCUUGCUCUGGUUAUAGUUAGUAUACCGUCAUUAUUAGAUAAUUUUGGUUAUUAAAGAAAUUGUUGUAAUUGAAAUGUUCAAGUAUAUUAGAUCAUGGUGCUGCUUAUGGGCAAGUAUAAAUGGGUUACAAUGGGUUUAAUCUACUACGGAGGCUGGGUUGAAAUGCCUUGGAGAAGGCGGAUUUAAUAGUAAUGUGAGUUUAAUACGCUCGCGUGAGAUUGGCUCUAAGACGUGUACAUAUCGGCCGUC
rnacentral:rRNA from 1 species